UUGAGGAAGGCAGUGACGGAAAACGCCUGGCCUAUCACAUGACUGAUCUCCGCUGUCAUGAGCCAUCGUUCUCUAACUGCAAGCUUUCAUUUUCAAAGUCCUGGCAUGAUUUCAGGAGCUGUAAACCUUCAUAUGAAACAGAAAUGGAACAUGGUGAUGGAAGCAAAAGAAAAAGCCCAGGUUGAAAGGCCUGGGCUUCUUCAGAGGUCCCUCCCUGACCACGGUCUGGAGGCUUCUCAUGAGAGACUCCUACCUUGGGCAGCAUGUAGUCUCUAGGUCAUCUUUCCCAGGAG